UACGUAGGUGGCAAGCGUUAUCCGGAAUUAUUGGGCGUAAAGCGCGCGCAGGUGGUUUCUUAAGUCUGAUGUGAAAGCCCACGGCUCAACCGUGGAGGGUCAUUGGAAACUGGGAGACUUGAGUGCAGAAGAGGAGAGUGGAAUUCCUGGUGUAGCGGUGAAAUGCGCAGAUAUCAGGAAGAACACCCGUGGCUAAGGCGGCUCUCUAGUACGGUACUGACGCUGAGACGCGAAAGCGUGGGGAGCGAACAGG
rnacentral:rRNA from 1 species